GUCUCCCUGUAGCUUAGUGGUUAGAGUAUCUGACUGGAACUGGAUGGUCAUCGGUUCCACUCCAGUCAGGGACA